AAAGCUCACUAGGGGCGUCGUAAUGACUGAGAUGAUAUAUCGGUCCCUUGGAACCUGAUCUAGUUUAUACUAGCGUAGGAAAGUGACCAAAAUUGUGU
rnacentral:ncRNA from 1 species